GGCAGAGGGAGCCCGGCCUCCGUGCUCCGGUCCGCGUCGACUCCGUCGGCGCGCUACGGGCAUGAGGAAAGUCCCCCCACCGUCCGGGCAGGUGACCGGGUGCAAACCCGGAGCGGGCGACCGCUGGCGCUGGAACAGAAACGAGACCGCUCCGUCCGACCGAUGAGGUGUGCGAACCCGAAGCGACCGGCAACGCCGGGAAGCGACGGGGAGCUAACCCACCGAGGGUCGACGGCGGAGAACGGAUGGAACGGCGAAUCCUCACCGGUGCAAGUCCGCGCGGCAAGGUAGCCCGGACGCGAGCGCGGACGCUCAGCCGAAUGCCGGGCCGAACAGAAGGGGGCUUACUCCCCUCAGCC
rnacentral:RNase_P_RNA from 1 species